AGGGGCAAUUUGAAUAUCCUUGUUAGCCAUCGUUAUUGUCCUUCACUACAAAGUUCUCACUAUAGUAGUAGGCACUCCAUGGCUAUACCGCCAUGCCACUACAUGAUAAGAAGAGUGACAACCAGAGAUGUUAUCUUCCUGGAACAACUCUUUUAUCAAGUAAGGAAACAACAAACAUUUUAUUGAUGUUGGCAAAGCUUUCUAUUCUCAAACCGAUUAUAUUAACAAUGUUUUGAGGUAGAACUAUCCAUACUUCAAUGAGGGAAUCAGUUAUGUAAUUACUGGGUAAGUAAAUUAAUUAAGAAUGACAUUUUUAAAAUAAAACAAACUUUUAAUUAUACUUACCCAGUACGUAAUUACAUGAUCAGAGCACACCCUCCAUCCCCUAGCAUGGAUUUAUUAUUUACGGGCAUAAGAAAACCAAGCUCUUUGCCAAUUGUUCCUCUCUUCCCCCGAAAGUCGGGGGUAUUGUUACCUAGCCAAAACAAAACAGAAAAAUUAGAGCGACCCACAAAUUUCGGAAUUUUAACUGCCAGGCGAGGGAAACUCUUAGCUACUGGAUUAUAUAUAGCCAGUUGCUGCCGUAAAACAUGGAUUCAAAAGGCAAAAAGUCUUUCGACAAGAGAGCAUACUUCAAACAAAAGUACAAGAAAAAUUAUGGCAGCCAACAGGAAGAAACAGAAUGCGUUCAGAUCUUCACACAAAAACAGUGAUAAUAUUAGUAUGUUUACUAAGGUGAUCUUACAAGGUCUUACAUCCUCAGGAUGAGUUCCACAAUACCCAUUCAGGCCAUGUAAUUUUCUUCCUUGCAAUUUCCUCAGA